AGCCGGGUGUUGUAGCGGUAACACAUCCUCGUUACCUAACAUACUAGCAUCAAAUGGUUAAGAGGAACUCCCUUGUUCGACUCAAGGCCCGGCUA